CAGUUGGCCAUCUGAGAUCCUGUUUAUGUGAUGACCAAUCGCCCUCUCUUCCAGUAUACUUCCCAGAGAUCUCAAACUGGCGACUCCAGAGCCACUAGGAAACUCUGCCCGCCUCCUGAUUCUACAGAAAUAAAUCAAACUCACCGUUUGCGGGAAGAUUCUCCCCCACUCCCCGACAAGAAAAAAAAAAAAAAAACCCUCCGGGCACUACUGUAGGUUUGUGUUUUAUCUGCCAAACUCACAGGAGUAAAACACAGCCCUCUGUCUGGGCUACCUGAAUAACUCCAUUCAUCCUUUAUGACUUAACACGGAGGCCACCUCCUCCAAGGGGACUUCCUUGAUUGCUCCUCCCUCCUGCCCCCCCCCCCCCCAGGAUAAGUUAAGCACGCUUCUUCCCUUUGUGCUGUCAUUAACAGUCGGCUUUCUCCACCCAUGCUGCGCUGAAAUGUCUGUUUCUGCUGUCUCCCCCCGCCAGGUACCAGCUCUGUGCAGAGGAACAGAAAGAUAGAAGGUCAACGAGAACCCCUCUUGUCCUAAUGCAUAAACCAGAGCUCAUGCUGCUGACGCCCCGGAUCUCGCUAGUGACUACACUGCAGGAGGAAUCUGGGUGUUCGGUGGCACUAUUCCGAGGGAAAGGAGAUGCCGCCUGCUUGGUGUCCCAAAGCUAGCCCCGAGGAGCCGCAGAAGGGGCCUGGGGACCGAGAAAUCUGGAAUCUGAUUACGUGUGCGUCACUGAGUCACGCUCUGACCUUAGGUAGUGGGAAAUAUCUUUCCGGGCUUAAGAUCUUGGACCCAAGCCAGACAUACAAGAUCCGUGACCUUGGGCAAGUUACGUAACCUUCUGUACCGUCAUUUUCUUAUCUGUCCAUUGGGUCUGAAAUGUUACCAACCUCACAGAGUUGUUAUAAAGGAUAAUCAUGUUAAUUACAAAUAACAUUUCAAUGGCAUGACAAACACAUAGUUAAGCACUGUGCCCACAUUUUCUAUUAUCACUUGAUGGUUUCUUCAUCUACAGAUAGUCCCCGUGACUCAACCCUGCAUCCCCAUGAAGCAAUCAAGAAGCCGGCCCCUUGGAAACAGCUCAGGCUUUCUGCAGAGUGUUUUUUUGCUGUCUGCAAAGACCAUACAGAUUGGUUCACUUCAAACCAACUUAGCAAACAUUAACUGAGCACCUGCUAUAUUUAAGGCCCUGGGUCAAGUACUCUGAGGAUACAUUAAUGAACCAGGGACUGCCCUCGAGGAAGCCUGUGCUCUGGCACAAGUGGGACCUAAAGGUGUCCAUUUCUCAAAGUGCUCAUCACCAGCACGGGGAACAGGAUGGCCAAGUAGGCGGUGCCUGGGGGGCCCGCUCACACGUCACCCGGGUCCAACCUGCCUGCAGCUGGCACCUGCUACCUGUAACCCGGGGCAGGCGACAUAACUCAGCCGGGUCUUAGUCUCCUCGUUUGUCAGACUGUGCGCAAAAGUGGCUCCUACCUCGUGGGCUUGUAGUGCAAGUUCAGGGAAGUGUUCUAUGCCAAGGGCCCAGCAAGGAGCCUGGCAAAGCCUCUCAGGUGAUAGCUGUUUUUAUUAUGAUUAAUCUAGGGAGCGAUGGUGGAGUAGAAGGGUUUUCUUUUAAAAGCACUCUUUUGAAUUAGUAAAGUGUCGGACUUACUCAAUACAAAAGACUUUGAGUUCUAUUUUUUUCUACUGAGAGCUAUUUCUGUUGUUUUUUCUUUAAGUUUAUGUAUUUUGAGAAAGA